rnacentral:rRNA from 1 species
CCUACGGGAGGCAGCAGUGGGGAAUUUUGGACAAUGGGCGCAAGCCUGAUCCAGCAAUGCCGCGUGAGUGAAGAAGGCCUUCGGGUUGUAAAGCUCUUUUGUCAGGGAAGAAACGGUUGGGGCUAAUAUCCUCGGCUAAUGACGGUACCUGAAGAAUAAGCACCGGCUAACUACGUGCCAGCAGCCGCGGUAAUACGUAGGGUGCAAGCGUUAAUCGGAAUUACUGGGCGUAAAGCGUGCGCAGGCGGUUUUGUAAGUCUGUCGUGAAAGCCCCGGGCUUAACCUGGGAAUUGCGAUGGAGACUGCAAGGCUUGAAUCUGGCAGAGGGGGGUAGAAUUCCACGUGUAGCAGUGAAAUGCGUAGAGAUGUGGAGGAACACCGAUGGCGAAGGCAGCCCCCUGGGUCAAGAUUGACGCUCAUGCACGAAAGCGUGGGGAGCAAACAGGAUUAGAUACCCUGGUAGUCCACGCCCUAAACGAUGUCUACUAGUUGUCGGGUCUUAAUUGACUUGGUAACGCAGCUAACGCGUGAAGUAGACCGCCGUGGGGAGUACGGGUCGCGAAGAUUAAAACUCAAAGGAAUUGACGG